UGAAUCUCAUGCAGAUCGUUUAUUCGGGCACAAAAAUAUUGUGCUUCUUCCUCCUUUUUGAUAAUGACAUUUAUGAAAUUGGCCUAGGGCGGGAAUCAAAAUGACCCAGCACCCCCCCAAAUAAAAAGAAAAUAAAAAAUCAAAGAUGCCAAAGUUGGGCCAGGGACAGUUUGGUCAAUACGAAAAACACCGGACGGUUAUUUCCAGGAAACGACCUCCCAGGAACUCCAAAACAGGGGACCGACCGUGUCCCUUGCCCCCGUCGAAACCCUAUAAAGCUCCGCAAACCUCGUCUCCCUCGACCCCAUAGCGGUCGUCGUCAAUCCUCGUAUCUCGUCCGAAACACCAAGCCUCGCCUCGGUUCUUUGAGCGCCGGCAACAGAGCAGGAGGAGGAAGAAGAAGAAGAAGAAGAAUGAUCGAUCAGUACAUCUUCUCGGUGGGCAAGCAGCGGUCGGUGAAGAAGCCCCGGAAGAAGACGGGCUUCGGGAAGCGCUGCCUCCGGAUGGCGAAGCAGCAGAAGACGCGCGUCUACAUCCUGUACCGCUGCACUUACAUGCUCCUCUGCUGGCGCGACCACUCCGUCUCCGAUUGAAAUCCGGUUCCCACCUCACCCCCCCAUCGCGGACUCAUGCCGUGACCCUUUUUUCCGAGAACGAUCGGAGGGAGAAAGGGUGUGGAAUUCGGAGCUCCGGUUGAAGAUUCAGCCGCGCCCGUCGCGGAAGACUCGAUUUUUCCCCAGGACCCGCCGGCCUCCGUUUCUUGAAGACAGAGAGAAAGAGAAAACAGAGGAUCUUUUCGCGGGUCGAAUCGGAGCCGAGUCGACGAGGAGCCGCCGCGGAGCAGACGAUCGUCUGGUUCUUGAAGUCGGGUUCGUCUUCGUUUCCGGGAAGACGAACGGGCAAGCUCGCCUCGGUUGAGCACGGCCCCAAGAAAAAUGGCGUCUUGGAGGCCGUCCUGCAACAAGAAACAGAGCAACCCAAGAAUCCCCGCACCAGUCGCCGGAAAAAAGCGGCGACGAUAAAAUGUGUAUAUAAAUGAAAUUAUAAUGAAAUGUUCGGUUGCGUUUCUCUGCGUCUGUUGAUGAUUUCUUGUCUUUUGCGAAGAUGGGACAUGCUGAUGAUUAGAGUUUUGAUUUUUCUUGGACGUCGUUUCGAGGAUGAAUCGCCUGGGUUGUGUAGUUCCAGAAAUUCGAACAAAUCGUGGAUGAAUUUGGAAGGUGUAAUCGAGCCGGGUGGAGCUAAGGCAGUGCCAACUGGCAACUGCCAAGCUCGGAAAAACAAUUAAAAUUUCGGAAGGUGAGCUGUUUCGAAUUAAGUAUGCUUAAUAAGUAUUUUUAGGUAUUACUAAACGCAAUCUUAUUGGAAAUUAUCAAUAGAUCCUCUAUCUUUGGAAGGACUUCAAAAUUGUUUUUAUACUUUUCUUCAAUUUGAAAUUGUCCAUGUG
rnacentral:lncRNA from 1 species